AUAGAUAGAUGUUUUAUUUAUUUUUUAUGUUAGCUGACGUAUGUCGUCAUUGCCGCGACGUGUCUUCUCAUUGGUUACGACCUUCUGGGAGGAGCCAAGUGGAGAAACGAAGCCUGAAAACAGAUUUGAACCGUUGCUUCUGUUUGCUGGUCCUGUGAGAAAAUGUCGUUACCGAAGAGGCAUGGAUAUUAAAACUAAAAGCUAAAACAAUUUCUGGAGCAGUUUUUGUCAAACACGAGUGAGACUGGACGCUGAACACAUCUGCAGCGCAAAGGUUUACUGAUUCAGCUGCUGCAGCCUGGACAGAAUCACCAGCUCUCACCUUACAAACCAAACAGGUGUCACCACUUUGUCUAUGAUCGCAGAGAGUCUUCGUAGAUUGAAGAAAUUCUUUCAGACCAAGACAGAGGCUUCCAGGAUUCAAACUUCUACCAUUGAAUCACAGAGAGAAGAGACAGACAUGAAGACAUUUCCAGAAGGUCUUCAGCUGCUGUUGUCUUCUCCUGCAGAGACAAGAACAUGUGUUAAUCACAGAAAAGUUUUACAGAAUACUUUUCUUUAAUUUUUUAAAUGUUUUUAUGCUUUACUGUACUAUGGGAUUUUUUGACAACUUACUAUAUAUACUAUGACAUGUGGCUUGAGACAAAGACAUUCUCUUUAAGUAGCCAUCUUACCUUUGUUUUCCAUAGACACACAUUCACAUCUCUACACAGGUUAGAUUAUUAUUUUGGUAUUUUGCCAGAGUGCAAUAUCAGUACUUCCGUCUAUUACUGUGUGCAUAGUCCUGUUUAUACUGUUCAUAUUGUUUAUAAUUUUGAUAUAUUAUCUUUUUAUAUUUGCCAUAAUUUCCGGACUAUAAGCCACUACUUUUUUCACACACUUUGAACCUUGCAACUUAAACAAUGAUGUAGCUAAUUUAUAGAUUUUUAUGGGCUAUCGAGAUUCAUGCCGCAAAAACAUUUAGACACCUGCAGCUUAUAGUCAGGUCCGCUCAAUAGUCCGGAAAUUACGGUAUAUAAUGCCUUUUUCUAUUUGUACUGUUGCAGCACUCAAAUAAAUACUUCUGAAAACUGAAUAUUUUUCUGGUCUGUUUGAU